CCCGCACAACUGAUCGUAGCUGAACCUGAAGAGCUCAACCACUACACCCCCUUGACAGCAUACACUGUGCAAGAGAGAUUCCUGGUUUCUCCAAAGGCGUUUCUUGUUCAUUGAGUUUGGAGCAUCACCUGGACUGGAUCACCUGGUCACACCUUCAUUGCAGCCACCGGUUAAACUCAACCAAAGAAGUUGCUGUCUGGUCUUUAGUAAUAAAGUGAGAGUCAUCAUGCUGAUGCGCAUCAUCCUGAGUAACGAAGACAUUAGAAGAGUCACCAUAGACAACUUGCCUGAAACUGUUGAUGACUUCUGCUUGCUUCUGAAGACAAAACUCGGAUUGGAUGGGGACCUUGUGGUUCAGUAUCAAGACCCCGAAUUUGAUAAUGAACUGUGUAACUUGAGCAGCAUAUCAGAGCUUCCGAAAGACAGAGUAACUUUGAAAGUGUACUACAAGUCAUACCACACAGACUCAACCCUAGAUACAGCAAGCCUGUCAUCAUCAUCAUCCCUUGAUGAGAGCCCUGGUGGUAGUCAAACCCGUCAGCUACCUCAGCCGUUUGUCAUUCCUUCCUUUUCUUUGAUGUUGAGUUGAAACUGAGGCAAGGAAAUGAGGCCUACCACAAAGAUGGGACCCUUCUUGACGUAUCAAAAGACAUGAAAUCGGACAUCUUGGAUAAGUUAGCAGAAGUGAUAUAUGUCCACAACCCCUACCCAAAAUCUGAAGAGUAUGAUCAAGUGGCCCAAGCUCUCAUCAACAAGCAUCCUUGUCUGAGGGAACCAGGGUCUGUCCAUGGGUGGUUUUGUUGGAAGUUCAGUUUGAAGUUUAAAAUGGGUAACUUCAGACAGAAGCUGCGAGUGGCCGGGUGCUCUGAGCUCAAAGUAAACUCUCGUACCUCUGGUCCAGCUGGGCCAAAAAAACUGAAGAGGGCCAAAAAGUCAGAGGUGAAUUUUCUGCCAGAUUUUCCAGAAGGGAUGAUACAAAGUAAUCUUGACAUGGACAGAUCAGCCAUGGCCGUUGAGAUGAAGAAAAGAAAAGUUGACUGGAAGCAAAUUGGUGAUAUGAUGAAUGACACAUUCCCUUUACGGAGAAAAGAGAUUGUUGAAGAUGAACCACUUGUGGCAGAAGUCAAAGAAGAUGGCCAGCAUUGUUCUCUGAACAGCAGAUUGUAGCUGAAUUUGCUCGCCUGACAUCUGUUGACCUGAAAGGCUCCCUAUUUGCUGGGAUUGACCAGUACCUGGC